rnacentral:lncRNA from 1 species
AAAAUGUGGGUUGUUGUUUUAGGAUCGAAACAGAACAGUUAUAUUAUUCUGAAAAUAAGCGUUACUGCCAUUGAUUCUCUUAAUUUCUUUCCUUGUACAUCGUCUUCCAUGAACGUGUCAGUGACGUUGACUUGUGAUGGAUAUUACGACUGCGAUAAUUAUGAAGACGAAUCAUCAUGCAAAUAUCCCACAAGCUAUCUUCAGACAGGCGAAUAUUUUAUCUACGUCAACAACAUCACACGCAAAAGAUUAUACAAUGCCCACUUGUUUCAAACAAAUGUUACGAAUGGAUUUCAAAUUAUAUUCAGAGAUCUAUAUCUCUAUCAUGACGAACACAUCCAGAUAGGGAAUGGUACUGAUCCGUCUGAUCUACAGUCUGUCAUCACAACCAUCAAUGGAUAUAGACAUUGCUGUCCCAGUGAUGUUUACGUAGAGACCGGUGAUAUGUGGAUUGCUAUCAUAGGAGGCAUGGAAUACCACCUGCUUGAACUGAAUG